rnacentral:rRNA from 1 species
GACGAACGCUGGCGGCGUGCUUAACACAUGCAAGUCGAACGGAAAGGCCCUGCUUGCAGGGUACUCGAGUGGCGAACGGGUGAGUAACACGUGGGUGAUCUGCCCUGCACUUCGGGAUAAGCCUGGGAAACUGGGUCUAAUACCGGAGAGGAGCCAUUUUUAGUGUGAUGGUUGGAAAGUUUUUUCGGUGUAGGAUGAGCUCGCGGCCUAUCAGCUUGUUGGUGGGGUAAUGGCCUACCAAGGCGGCGACGGGUAGCCGGCCUGAGAGGGUGGACGGCCACAUUGGGGCUGAGAUACGGCCCAGACUCCUACGGGAGGCAGCAGUGGGGAAUAUUGCACAAUGGGCGCAAGCCUGAUGCAGCGACGCCGCGUGGGGGAUGACGGCCUUCGGGUUGUAAACUCCUUUCGCUAGGGACGAAGCUUUUUGUGACGGUACCUAGAUAAGAAGCACCGGCUAACUACGUG